AUAGGUUAGGUAAAUGUUCCAUGAUAAUGGGUUAGGUAAAUGUUUCAUGAUAAUGGGUUAGGUAAAUGUUUCAUGAUAAGAAUUCCAUGUCUUUUGUAUUAAAGAAUUAAAUGGAUGAAAUAUGAAGUUUUAUUAAAAGAAAAAGGGGUGAAAAGAACAAAGUUUUGUCCAUCUUUGUUCAUCAUAGCUGAAAGUUAGAGAAGAGAAAGGAGAGGAGAAAGCUCUUGAGUAUUUGGUCAUUAGGAGGAGGAAAAUUGAAGGAAAUCCCCAACCAUAGUGGGCUUGGAGCUGUGAGGGAAUUCGGAGUGGCCACCCGUUCUGAAAGUUUGAUUUUCUUCUGGUGAACUGGACAUCCUUUUAUUUACGUUUGAAGUUUUUGGGCUUUUAAAUGUAAUAAGGCCGCUUAAUUAUUUUUGAUGGUUUUAAUAUGUGUUACUAAGAUAGGUAAUACUUAUUUUAA